rnacentral:rRNA from 1 species
AACGUACGCUGGCGGCAGGCCUAACACAUGCAAGUCGAACGCCCUAGCAAUAGGGAGUGGCGCACGGGUGCGUAACGCGUGGGAAUAUGCCCUUCACUGCGGAAUAACGUUUGGAAACGAACGCUAAUACCGCAUAAUGACUCCGGUCCAAAGAUUUAUCGGUGAAGGAUUAGCCCGCGUUAGAUUAGCUAGUUGGUGAGGUAAGAGCUCACCAAGGCAACGAUCUAUAGCUGGUCUGAGAGGAUGAUCAGCCACACUGGGACUGAGACACGGGCCAGACUCCUACGGGAGGCAGCAGUGAGGAAUAUUGGACAAUGGGCGCAAGCUUGAUCCAGCCAUGCCGCGUGAGUGAAGAAGGCCUUCGGGUUGUAAAGCUCUUUCAGUUGUAAAGAUAAUGACGGUAACAACAGAAGAAGCCCCGGCUAAAUUCGUGCCAGCCGCCGCGGUAA